ACCUACCAAGGAAAAGCAGUUGCUUGGCGGUCUUUUUCGGCGCAAGUUUUAAAUUCAUCUCGAGUGUCUUUACAUCGCAAGAUUAACGUUAUUCUGAAUCUUAAUUAGAAGAUAUGAAACGAAAGCAGACUCAAAGUACACUCUUGAGUGUUUUCGGAUGCCUGCCCGUAAAGCUACAGCAGCUUCGGGUGACACUUCAUCUGCAGCAGAUGACACGAUCGUUAUAGAAACUCCAGAAAAUGAGGCUGAUGCUAUCGUAAAGUUACCUGAUGAUGAGAGAAAUGAGAACCCCUGGCCAGCCUUGUGGACUGAAAGUCAGGCUAGGGAAUUUAAAAACAGGCAUCCUUGGUUAGAGUGGAGGGACAAUGAACUACUUUCUAUCCCUUGGAGGAUUAAAUCCUGGUGCUCAAUGAGGUCUUGGGGGCCUACAGUUUGAAAAGAGAAGAACAACAAACAGGCCUUCCAAGCCUAAUUAUCAGUACUAGAUCAAUGAUGCAAACUAAUAAAAGUGAGAAAGUUAAUGAUCUUUCAUAAAAUGGGCCAUUUAAUAGCUUCAGAAAAGAUUUGUGAACUCACAGUGACAUCUAGUGGUGUGAUGUUAAAGGCGGUUAUAAUGUUUUUGUAAAAACUUUCUAUAACAUUUCUUAAUACAUGUACAUCGUAAAAAUUAGUGACACUAAAAGGACUAUUUCAAAUAUAGUUAUUAGGUCCAACUCAAGUGUUUGGAUUCAUAUCCGUCCUUUUUUUUCAGAUGAUGCUGAAAUGAAAAUGGACUGUAAUUCCCCUGUAUUUAAUUAUACCCCGUUUUUGGCAUUUACUUUAGGAUGAAAGUUUCCUCUGGAUGUGAUUUUUAAACCCUGGUGAUUGUAGUGUGAUGUGUGUGUUAUGGGGUUUGUGCCGUAUGUAAAUGUGUGUUUGAGAUCAAGAUGUUUUCUGAAAGGUGAUCCUUAUAGUAUAACUGAGGUUGACUGUCAGGACCCCUGUCUGACAGUAUUGUUCUAGCAGGUCCAGGUUCUGUUGUGAGUCGUGUUGGGUGUAAGACAACAGAACCAGAUCAACUGCAUACAGAAGACAUUGAUUUGUGAGAGGUGUAGAGUGAGACUGAGGGCUUCAGAUUGCUCGAGGAUGGUUGCCAGUUCAUUGAUGUAAAUAUUAAACAAUGUUGGACAUAUUGCUUUUAUAAAACUGAUAUCCCAUAUACGUAGCAAGGUUUCAUAAAGUAAAGUGAUAUAAAGGCUAUGUUAUACAGUCAGCAGUUAGACAUCGGGUAUUUUACGGCUUAGAACUCGGCUCAACCAAUCAGAAUCAAGGACCAGAACUGACCCUUUUAUAAUAAAGUAAUGACACAUUUCUCUUCAACAAGCCGAACAAUGUCGUCAGCACAAACAGAUACGAGUGUAAUGCUCAGGGUUCUGUUAUAGUAUAUUGUCUUUUACAAAAAGUGUGCUAUUAGUAUACUUACAAUAAACAUUUUUAAACGUAGUAUUGAAAUACUUCAUGUGCAAGAAUACAGUUAUAGUAUAAAUACAUAAAUAUAUCAAAUGCUUUCCUUAUAACAAAAAUGAACUUUCUGUACGGGUUAACAAACACUGACAUUUAAAGUAACAACACAAACAAAAACAGGAUUCAAUGUAAAAAAUCCAAUAUUCAUUAUUACAUGAUUCUUUUUCAACACACAAUGUCUCACUAUGAAAACUUUUAAGAUAAAACUACUGAAUUAGUUUUUGCUAUCAGAUUUUGAAUUUUCAAUAUGUAAUGUCAAAAAGUA